AUAUGUAUGUAUAUAUGUAUAUAUAUACAUUCUCACUUUACAUCUCCAAUUGCUACCUGACUCAACAGCCUCUGAACACUUGCUAUGGGGAAAGGACACUGAGAGGUUCUCUACUGCUGGAGGUGACAAGAAAUGGAGCCUGAGGAAACUAGGAACAUAAGGCAGUUGCUGAUUUCCCCUGGAAUGGAACUACUUUGAGAAUGUUUAGUGCAGACAGCGGGGUGAUAGCAGGUCCUAGGAAAGGGUGUGUCUAGUGUGACCGAGUGGUGAGCAGAGGUGUGAGGAAAAGGAAGACACAGGUAAAAUAAGAUCAACACAGAGCAGCAGGUCUACUGGAUUUAAGAACAGUUGGUGACUUUGUUAUGGUAAGAUUUGAAUUUGGUGGUAAAGAGUUGGGCAGUGUGGACAGAGCUGCAACUGAGAGCCCUUAGUUCAUCUUAGUCAGGAAGCUACCCAGCAUCAUGCCAACACUCAACACAGCCAGGAUCCAUCUGACAUCAGCAAUGAUAUCCCUGGUUCCACGUCCUCUUCUGAAACCAGCCUGAAUUUCUGGCGGUUCCCUGUUGAUAUACCAUGGACUGCCAGAAAAAACCAACAAAUCUGUCUUGGAUUUGGAAUGCUCCUUAGAAGUGAGGCUGCCGAGACUUCUUCUCAUAUACUUUGAACAUAUUACCAGAAGGGGCCAGUCCCUGGAGAAGGACAUCAUGCUUGGUAAAGUAGAGGGUCAGUGAAAAGGAGGAAGACCCUCAACAAGAUCAGUUGACACAGUGGCUGCAACAAUGGACUCAAACAUAGCAAUGAUUUUGAGGACCAGGUGGUGUUUCGUUCUGUUGUACAUAGGGUCUCUUGAGUCAGAACUGACUCACUGGCACCUAACAACAGUAAAAUUGGCCUUCAACAAUAUUGCACAUUUUUUUCUUAAGAUUUAUCAUAAAUGAUCAAUAUAAAGGAGAAUACUGGUAAAUAUGGAAAUAUUCUGGACAUA